AGGUGGCAAGCGUUAUCCGGAUUUAAUGGGUGUAAAGGGCGUGUAGGCGGGACUGCAAGUCAGAUGUGAAAACUCAGGGCUCAACCCUGAGCCUGCAUUUGAAACUGUUUUUCUUGAGUACUGGAGAGGCAGACGGAAUUCCUAGUGUAGCGGUGAAAUGCGUAGAUAUUAGGAGGAACACCAGUGGCGAAGGCGGUCUGCUUGACAGCAACUGACGCUGAGGCGCGAAAGCGUGGGGAGCAA
rnacentral:rRNA from 1 species